rnacentral:lncRNA from 1 species
CCCUCUCUCAAAACUCUCUGUUUCCAAGCUUUGUUUUCCACCAAUUUGUUCUCCAUCCACUUCAGUUGUUUAUUCCCAGUUUGUUUUCACUGCGUCCAUCCUUUUCUGUAAUUUUUUCAUCUUCUCUUUUCCUAUUUGUGGAUAUCUUAAACAUCAACCCAAAACCCCAAAUCAAAAUCAGCAGAAAUUCUAAAAUAUUCCAAUUCAAAAUAAAAAACUCCUAUUUCGACUUCUUCACUCCGAUGCCGACUCCGACACCUGACUCCUAUUUCUGCAAUGGUUGGAAAAAGUAGGUUAAAAAGCAAAAGGAAUAUUGAUGAAGCACCAUUUUCAAAAGAAGAACAUGAUUUCUUCAACAUCUUAAGAACCCAAGGUAUUACUUAGUGACAAUAAGUUAUGUGAUGAUUUUUGUAUCUUGCUGUUUGGAAAUUUUGAUUUAGGUUGCCAUUUUCUGAUUUAUAUGAAAAUUUUACUUCAGUUUUCUGAUUUCUCUUUUAAGAAAGGUUUAGUUAUUUAUGUUAAUUUAAUAGUGAGGUUUUAAAACAAAAAAUAACUUUUCGUUUGCUGACCAAAAUUAUGAAAUAAACAAUUAAUCUAUUAUAACAUGGAGGUGUCUGCACAAGGAAGCAAUCGGACGAGCUCAAACUUAGCUAAGUUGGUGCUUUUAAAUUUCAAAAUAAAGUAUAGUAGGAUAGUUUUUCUUUUCUGCAUUGUAAAUCUGCUUUCUGG